UACGUAGGGUGCAAGCGUUAAUCGGAAUUACUGGGCGUAAAGCGUGCGCAGGCGGUUUUGUAAGACCGAUGUGAAAUCCCCGGGCUUAACCUGGGAACUGCAUUGGUGACUGCAAGGCUUGAGUGUGUCAGAGGGAGGUGGAAUUCCGCGUGUAGCAGUGAAAUGCGUAGAUAUGCGGAGGAACACCGAUGGCGAAGGCAGCCUCCUGGGAUAACACUGACGCUCAUGCACGUAAGCGUGGGGAGCGAACAGG
rnacentral:rRNA from 1 species